rnacentral:ncRNA from 2 species
GGUCAAGAGUGCUAGCGAGAAGCCCCGGCUGGCUAGUCGGCAACCCCCGUACCGCGGUGGGGUGCUCCGGGUGAGGACCUGGCCCACCUGCGCAAACGCAGGCGGCAAGCGCGGGUC